CAUAAAGGAACUCAGACUAUAGGCGCCACGUCCUGUGGCAACGUCUGCAUAACCCGUAUCUUGCGGG
rnacentral:sRNA from 1 species